GGAGGGUACAGUUCAAGUGGUAGACUACGUGCUUACUAAGCACGAGGUCCUGGGUUCAAUCCCCAGCACCUCCA
rnacentral:tRNA from 1 species